CCCCGGGCGCUGCAGUGAUAGCUGCCCACUGCUCCGGGUGUACGUGUGUUCACCACUUGCUGUGCGUGUGUUCACUACUCUCUGGAUGGAUUAAAUGCAGAGGUCACAUUUUGGGAGCACGCUUCAGAUGAUUUAUGAGGCAUAUGAUCCAAAGAAAACAAACAAGAAUUCGUAAUCAAUAUCAUCAUUAACCUAAAGCUGGAAUCUGUAACUCUGUUUGAAACAUGACAUUGCAGAGUUACAGUCCUGUGUGCAGCAGGCCUUGGAAUGGUGUUUACUGCCAACUUCCCCCUCCGAUUCUGCACCAGUUGAUCAUGUUCAGACCCAUAGGCUUUCUACCCACCCCGCUCAGACCCGCUCGGACCCGAAACCUCAUUGGCCGCUAGUGUCGUCACAGAGACAACAGCUGUCUCCAGGAUGAAGAAGCUACACUUGGGGUGCCAGCCAGUCUGCCUGCCUGCAAUUGGAGAGUCCCAAAGUCCC